UGGGUCUGGUUUUCAUUCUGACUUGUACCCACUUACCUGGUAGUUUUACUCUGUUCAUAAUUUAACUUGGUUUUGUUGUUGGUGUGUCUGUUUUUCCCCCUCUCGUUCCCAGUUUUAAGUGACUUUGAGUAUUUUAAGCAUUUCCAGUCUGAUUCUGAUCUCAGGAACUCGGUUAGGUUUUAGAGAGAAGUAGGCGGAGUGUUAGCCCUGGGAAACUCGCUACUCCCCUGGAAGCCUGCGCUGGGCAUUCUAACCGCUCCAGCACCUCUGCGCCCCAGGAGCCCCUCCAGGGUAGAUCAGCUGUCACUCCCGUCACCUGGCACUCGUCCUGUUCUAGGGGUUUUUUCUUCAUGUUCAAUGAAUGUACUUCCUGACAGCUUUAUCGCAUAAGCUAUUGGAAAUGAAGGAAGAGUUGUAGAUACUCACUCCUUAGCAGAACAUGGGCUGAGAAGCUGGCCAGGAGUGUGAAGCAAGUGGUGGGACUGGGGAGAAAGCUUGCAGGCUUUCCACCUGUGCGGCAUCCUUGUGAAGGAAGCGGCGCUCUCGGCUCUCUAACGGGAGAGAUUUAAUCACAGGGAGCUGAGGCCCACCUUUUUCUUGGGACUUUGUGAUGAUGCGUCUGAACAACUCUUUUUGUUUUGUAUUUUAUGUCCCCCGUGGAAUGAUUUUUGCCUAAUCUGUGAGUGAACUUUCAGUGUCACCCCCCCAGGUGUUUUUUGCAGGGGUGUGUGUGUAUAAAGCACUUGACCUUUGACACAGCCCCUCACCUACUCUCCUAUUCUGAAAUCUUUUUCUUUGGCCUUCCAUUCUUUGUUAAUCUGGAUGGUUUCCUUGCUGUUUCUAUUUAGUUCUGUUCUAGUUCUUGUUUUGUUCUGGCUUUUAACAUUUGAUAUGUGAUUCCCCCCCUCCUCCAAACUUACUGUGGAGUAAACGCUUUAGGUGACCCAUGUGACCUCUUCACGGAUGGGAGGUGUAGUCUUUAAGUUCCCUCCUCCGCCAUGUGGCAGGUGUUUGCUCUCUUGCCACCGCACUUCAGGUUCAGCAUCUCUAAGGCUGCUGCCCCGGGCCUCCUGAGGCAGGCCCGAAUUCACUGCAGCACUAAGGGUGAAAGCCAAAGGGUUUAGAAAGAUGAAUGAAGCCGGGUCUCCUGCUGCAGACUUUGUCUCAGAAUCCUAAAAAAAGAAAAAG
rnacentral:lncRNA from 1 species